GUGCACCAGGCGCGAAACCUCCGCAAUGCACGCAAGUGCGACGGGGGGACCCCAAGUGCCACUCUUAACGGGGUGGCUUUUCAGGAGUGUAAAAAGCUCCUGGAAUAAGGGCUGGGCAAGACCGGUGCCAGCCGCCGCGGUAACACCGGCAGCUCGAGUGGUAGCCGCGUUUAUUGGGCCUAAAGCGUCCGUAGCCGGUCCGAUAAGUCUCUGGUGAAAGCCCACAGCUCAACUGUGGGAAUCGCUGGAGAUACUAUCGGACUUGAGGCCGGGAGAGGCUGGAGGUACUCCCAGGGUAGGGGUGAAAUCCUAUAAUCCUGGGAGGACCACCUGUGGCGAAGGCGUCCAGCUGGAACGGACCUGACGGUGAGGGACGAAAGCCAGGGGCGCGAACCGGAUUAGAUACCCGAGUAGUCC
rnacentral:rRNA from 1 species